rnacentral:rRNA from 1 species
AGCGAACGCUGGCGGCAGGCCUAACACAUGCAAGUCGAACGAAGUCUUCGGACUUAGUGGCGGACGGGUGAGUAACACGUGGGAACGUACCUUUUGGUUCGGAACAACUCAGGGAAACUUGAGCUAAUACCGGAUAAGCCCUUAGGGGGAAAGAUUUAUCGCCGAAAGAGCGGCCCGCGUUAGAUUAGCUAGUUGGUGAGGUAAAGGCUCACCAAGGCUACGAUCUAUAGCUGGUCUGAGAGGAUGAUCAGCCACACUGGGACUGAGACACGGCCCAGAAUCCUACGGGAGGCAGCAGUGGGGAAUCUUGCGCAAUGGGCGAAAGCCUGACGCAGCCAUGCCGCGUGAAUGAUGAAGGUCUUAGGAUUGUAAAAUUCUUUUACCAGGGACGAUAAUGACGGUACCUGGAGAAAAAGCCCCGGCUAACUUCGUGCCAGCAGCCGCAGUAACAC